rnacentral:rRNA from 1 species
AGACAGGUGGUGCAUGGUUGUCGUCAGCUCGUGUCGUGAGAUGUUGGGUUAAGUCCCGCAACGAGCGCAACCCUUAUAUUUAGUUGCCAGCACUUCGGGUGGGCACUCUAGAUAGACUGCCGGUGACAAACCGGAGGAAGGUGGGGAUGACGUCAAAUCAUCAUGCCCCUUAUGACCUGGGCUACACACGUACUACAAUGGCCGGUACAACGGGCUGCGAAAUCGCGAGAUGGAGCCAAUCCCAACAAAGCCGGUCUCAGUUCGGAUUGCAGGCUGCAACUCGCCUGCAUGAAGUCGGAAUUGCUAGUAAUCGCGGAUCAGCAUGCCGCGGUGAAUACGUUCCCGGGUCUUGUACACACCGCCCGUCACACCACGAGAGUUUAUAACACCCGAAGUCGGUGGGGUAACCGCAAGGAGCCAGCCGCCGAAGGUGGGAUAGAUGAUUGGGGUGAA